GGGCUCAUAGCUCAGGAGGUAGAGCGUUUGUCUGGCAGUCAGAGGGUUGCCAGUUUGAUCCCCGCCCUGGGUGUG
rnacentral:tRNA from 1 species